rnacentral:rRNA from 1 species
GAUCCUGGCUCAGAAUCAACGCUGGCGGCGUGCCUCAGACAUGCAAGUCGAACGAUUAAGACUCCCUUCGGGGAGUGUAUAAAGUGGCGCACGGGUGAGUAACACGUAAGUAAUCUACCUUCGAGUGGGGAAUAACGUUCGGAAACGGACGCUAAUACCGCAUAAUGCAGCGGCAUCGCAAGAUGACAGUUGUUAAAGGAGCAAUCCGCUUGAAGAGGAGCUUGCGGCAGAUUAGCUAGUUGGUAAGGUAACGGCUUACCAAGGCUACGAUCUGUAUCCGGCCUGAGAGGGCGGUCGGACACACUGACACUGAAUAACGGGUCAGACUCCUACGGGAGGCAGCAGUCGGGAAUUUUGGGCAAUGGGCGAAAGCCUGACCCAGCAACGCCGCGUGAGGGAUGAAGUAUUUCGGUAUGUAAACCUCGAAAGAAUAGGAAGAAUAAAUGACGGUACUAUUUAUAAGCUCCGGCUAACUACGUGCCAGCAGCCGCGGUAAUACGUAGGGAGCAAGCGUUGUUCGGAUUUACUGGGCGUAAAGGGCGCGUAGGCGGCGUGUUAAGUCAGCUGUGAAAUCUCCAAGCUCAACUUGGAACGGCCAGCUGAUACUGAUGUGCUAGAGUGCAGAAGGGGCAAUCGGAAUUCUUGGUGUAGCGGUGAAAUGCGUAGAUAUCAAGAGGAACACCUGAGGUG